GUGCCUGUGAUAAAAACGUUAAAAAUUGAAGAAGAAUGUGAAGUCAUAUGUUAUAUUACUUUUUCCCUGUUUAAUUCAUUAAAAUGUCUAUGUCUUACCCCCUUGACUACAGUCAUAGGGAAAUACCCCAAAAUGGUAUCCCAAGAGGUAAAUUCCAAACACUUUUUUUUAACAAUUUGUUACACUUUUUUUUUUCUUUUUUUUUUUUUAUUAAUUUCAGUGUAAAACAUAUACAUGUAUUGUCUUUAAAUAUAAAAUUUAUUUGUAUUCGGCACAAAACAGGGGAAAUGCUCGGUAGAACCUUACUAUACAAAUCCAUGAUAAAAAAAAAAGAUGGGAUAUGACAACUCUCCACAAGUGACCAAAUGAAACAGAAAUUAACAACUCAAGGUCACUGUACAGCCUUCAACAAUGAACAAAGCCCAUACUGCAUAGUCAGCUAUAAAAGGUCCAGAAAUGACAAUCAUUCAAUGUAAAACAAUUCAAACAAGAAAACUAACGUUAAUUUAUGUACAAAACUUAUGAAAGAUGGAAAAACAGAUAUGUUACACAUAAACAAACGACAAUCACUGAAUAAUAGGCUCCUGAUUUGGAACAGGCACAUACAUAAACAAAUGUGGCAGGGUAUAAGGAACUAUGAAAAUGUUUAGUUUUUGUGGUUUAGUCUUUUUUCCGGAUACUGUAAGCAAUAAUGCUCCUUUAUUUAGUGAAUGGAAUUAUUGUAGGAUGCACAUGUCUGUCUGCCAUAUUUUAUAUGACCUUGACCUCAUUUUUAUAGUUCAUUAGUCAAUGAAACACUGCAUUGUUUUGUCAGUUUAUCAUAUGCUUAAAGUUACAGGUACUAGUAGAUUAUAUCUGGUGGAUAUGUAACAAUUAAGAUGUGCAGGUCUGUCUGGCAGAUUCAUAUAACCAUGACCACAUUGUAUGGUUCUUGGGUCAAUGCUAAGUUUUCUUGGUUUUGUCAUUUUAUCAGAUAUUAUAAGCAUGGGUCUACUUCAUGUUGUAUACGGAAUGACUGCAAGGUGUCAUAUAAAAAUAGGAAGAUGUCUGUCUGCCAAGAAUAAUUUUACUGUGACCUCAUUUUCAUAGAAUAAUGAUAAUUUUAAACAGCAAGAAUAAUGAGCAAGUCAACUUUAUAUACAAAUGAGGCAAAAUUUUCAGUUGCCUACUAAUUAUGUAAUAGUAGUUAUUUUUGUCAUUAAAAUUAAGAUAAUGUUUACCCUUUUAGGUGUAGGGCAAGAACAUUAAAGAUAAAGGGAAACUAUAAACAGAAGAAGUUAUCAACAAAAAAUAGAUUUACAGAGGUCAACAAGUCUAAAUGGUCAGACAUCUUGAUUUUCAUGGUCAUCAUUCAACAGAUCAAUACUAAACAGAAAACUUAAAGUUGAUAUUUUUUUCCAUAGUGCGACUUUUUUUAUGAAUUUGAAAUGGAACAUGUUUUUUCCUACUUUUAUUAGAAAAAGGAAAUUUCAACAUAAUGACUAAACAAAAAGGUCGAGUCAUAUCAUCACAAUCAUAGAUGCACAAGAACUUGAUCACGGAAAUGCAACAAUGUACGGAAUUAUCAAUUGGAAGAAGGACUGAAUGAAAAAAAUAUUAGUUUGUUGUUGUCCAAAAAAACUUG